rnacentral:rRNA from 1 species
CCAGCAGCUGCGGUAAUUCCAGCUCCAAUAGCGUAUAUUUCAGUUGUUGCAGUUAAAAAGCUCGUAGUUGGAUUUCGGGCGGGUGACGGCGGUCCGCCUCUGGUGUGCACUGCUGCUCAUCCGCCUUACUGUCGGGGACGGGCUCCUGGGCUUCACUGUCCGGGACCCGGGUUCGACAUGGUUACUUUGAGUAAAUUAGAGUGUUCAAAGCAAGCGUUCGCUAUGAAUACAUUAGCAUGGAAUAACAUGAUAGGACUCUGGCUUAUCUUGUUGGUCUGUAAGACCGGAGUAAUGAUUAAGAGGGACAGUCGGGGGCAUUCGUAUUUCAUUGUCAGAGGUGAAAUUCUUGGAUUUAUGAAAGACGAACUUCUGCGGAAGCAUUUGCCAAGGAUGUUUUCAUUAAUCAAGAACGAAAGU